rnacentral:rRNA from 1 species
GGAACAGGACGUCAUAGAGGGUGAGAAUCCCGUAUGUGACUGGCUGCCUUCGCCCGUGUAAAGCUCUUUCGACGAGUCGAGUUGUUUGGGAAUGCAGCUCUAAAUGGGAGGUAUAUUUCUUCUAAAGCUAAAUAUUGGCCAGAGACCGAUAGCGCACAAGUAGAGUGAUCGAAAGAUGAAAAGCACUUUGGAAAGAGAGUUAAACAGUACGUGAAAUUGUUGAAAGGGAAGCGCUUGCAACCAGACUUGCCUGCGGUCGAUCAUCCUGGGUUCUCCCUGGUGCACUCGAUCGUGGUCAGGCCAGCAUCGGUUUCGGUGGUGGGAUAAAGGCCUUGGGAAUGUAGCAGUCUUCGGGCUGUGUUAUAGCCCUCGGUGCAAUGCCGCCUACCGGGACCGAGGACCGCGCUUCGGCUAGGAUGCUGGCGUAAUGGUUGUAAGCGACCCGUCUUGAAACACGGACCAAGGAGUCUAACAUCUAUGCGAGUGUUUGGGUGUUAAACCCAUACGCGUAAUUAACGUGAACGGAGGUGAGAACCCUUAAGGGUGCAUCAUCGACCGAUCCUGAUGUCUUCGGAUGGAUUUGAGUAAGAGCAUAGCUGUUGGGACCCGAAAGAUGGUGAACUAUGCCUAAAUAGGGUGAAGCCAGAGGAAACUCUGGUGGAGGCUCGCAGCGGUUCUGACGUGCAAAUCGAUCGUCAAAUUUGGGUAUAGGGGCGAAAGACUAAUCGAACCAUUGAAGUACUAGGUGGGCAAGAGCCCCGCGUGUUCGCGGGGCUAGUCGGCGAUCUGCCGGCAACACUGUCAAAGUGCGGGGACCUCCUGUCGACGCAUCGCUACCGCAGC